GUGAGUAGUUCAGAGUUUGAUCCUGGCUCAGGAUGAACGCUGGCGGCGUGCCUAACACAUGCAAGUCGAACGGGACUUAUUGAGACGAUUUCGGUCUGAUCUUUAAGUUUAGUGGCGGACGGGUGAGUAACGCGUGGACAACCUGCCUUUCACAGGGGGAUAGCAGCUGGAAACGGCUGAUAAUACCGCAUACGCUCAUAUCACCGCAUGGUGGUGUGAGGAAAGAUUUAUCGGUGAAAGAUGGAUCCGCGUCUGAUUAGCCAGUUGGCGGGGUAACGGCCCACCAAAGCGACGAUCAGUAGCCGGCCUGAGAGGGCGGACGGCCACAUUGGGACUGAGACACGGCCCAG
rnacentral:rRNA from 1 species